rnacentral:rRNA from 1 species
AGCGAACGCUGGCGACAGGCCUAACACAUGCAAGUCGAACGAACUCUUCGGAGUUAGUGGCGGACGGGUGAGUAACACGUGGGAACGUGCCUUUAGGUUCGGAAUAACUCAGGGAAACUUGUGCUAAUACCGAAUGUGCCCUUCGGGGGAAAGAUUUAUCGCCUUUAGAGCGGCCCGCGUCUGAUUAGCUAGUUGGUGAGGUAAAGGCUCACCAAGGCGACGAUCAGUAGCUGGUCUGAGAGGAUGAUCAGCCACAUUGGGACUGAGACACGGCCCAAACUCCUACGGGGGGCAGCAGUGGGGAAUCUUGCGCAAUGGGCGAAAGCCUGACGCAGCCAUGCCGCGUGAAUGAUGAAGGUCUUAGGAUUGUAAAAUUCUUUCACCGGGGACGAUAAUGACGGUACCCGGAGAAGAAGCCCCGGCUAACUUCGUGCCAGCCGCCGCCGUAA